AGGCUGGCACCAGGAUCCCU
rnacentral:miRNA from 1 species